rnacentral:rRNA from 1 species
GAUGAACGCUGGCGGCGUGCCUAAUACAUGCAAGUCGAGCGAACAGACGAGGAGCUUGCUCCUCUGACGUUAGCGGCGGACGGGUGAGUAACACGUGGAUAACCUACCUAUAAGACUGGGAUAACUUCGGGAAACCGGAGCUAAUACCGGAUAAUAUAUUGAACCGCAUGGUUCAAUAGUGAAAGACGGUUUUGCUGUCACUUAUAGAUGGAUCCGCGCCGCAUUAGCUAGUUGGUAAGGUAACGGCUUACCAAGGCAACGAUGCGUAGCCGACCUGAGAGGGGGAUCGGCCACCCUGGAACGGAGAACCGGUCCCAACCCCCACGGGAGGCAGCAGUAAGGAAUCUUCCGCAAGGGGCGAAAGCCUGACGGGACAACGCCGGGUGAGGUAUGAAGGUUUUCGGAUCGUAAAACUCUGUUAUUAGGGAAAAACAAAUGUGUAAGUAACUAUGCCCGUCUUGACGGUACCAAAUCAGAAACCCACGGCUAACUACGU